AUCCCUGGAUGGCUCAGUUGGUUAGAGCGGGGUGCUGAUAAUGUCAAGGUUGCAGGUUUGAUCCCCGUGUGGGAUC
rnacentral:tRNA from 1 species